AUUGAACGCUGGCGGCAGGCCUAACACAUGCAAGUCGAACGAGUGGCGGACGGGUGAGUAAUGUCUGGGAAACUGCCCGAUGGAGGGGGAUAACUACUGGAAACGGUAGCUAAUACCGCAUACCAUCGGAUGUGCCCAGAUGGGAUUAGCUAGUAGGUGGGGUAACGGCUCACCUAGGCGACGAUCCCUAGCUGGUCUGAGAGGAUGACCAGCCAAACUGGAACUGGGACACGGGCCAGACUCCUAAGGGGGGCAAGAGGGGGGAAUAUUGGAAAAUGGGCGCAAGCCUGAUGCAGGCAUGCCGGGGGUAAUAAGAAGGCCUUCGGGGUGGAAAGUACUUUCAGCGGGGAAGCGUUACUCGCAGAAGAAGCCACGGCUAACUCCGGGCCAGCAGCCGCGGUAAUUC
rnacentral:rRNA from 1 species